AGAUUGGGCGCUGGAUGUGAGGGUGCCCCACUGACAGCCAGAUUUGAUUCAGCUGAUCUGGGGGGCUAGGCAGUGUCCCCUUUUUUUUGUCACUGCUCUAUGUGCAUCCCUCCUGAAGCUGCACGUUGGGUCAAAGAUGAUAAGCAGCCCCCAUAAAGGAGGAUCGUUUCUUCAGUCAAGGAUGUAGGAGUUGCUGCACCCCCUUGCUAGAACCUCCAAACAAGAUAUCAGGGUUGGGCAUAACAUUAAUUUAGUGUCUUUAUUGAAAAGCUACUUGGAU
rnacentral:snRNA from 1 species